GUAGUACUCUCUGCGCAUGUGCAAAGCGCUGUCGGGGGCCGCCCUAGCUGCCGUCGCCGCCGCCGGGGCUCUAUGGUCUCUCCCUAGAGCUUUGCCGUUGGAGGCGGCUGCUGCGGUCUUGUGAGUUUGACCAGCGUCGAGCGGCAGCAACAUGGAGGAAUUCGACUCCGAAGACUUCUCUACGUCGGAGGAGGACGAGGACUACGUGCCGUCGGGUGGAGAGUAUAGUGAAGAUGAUGUAAAUGAAUUAGUGAAGGAAGAUGAAGUGGAUGGUGAAGAGCAGACACAGAAAACCCAAGGGAAAAAAAGAAAGGCCCAGAGCAUUCCAGCCAGGAAGAGAAGACAAGGUGGCCUCUCAUUAGAAGAAGAGGAAGAGGAGGAUGCCAAUUCAGAAUCUGAGGGAAGCAGUAGUGAGGAGGAAGAUGACGCUGCAGAGCAGGAAAAAGGCAUUGGAUCAGAGGAUGCCAGGAAAAAGAAGGAGGACGAACUCUGGGCCAGCUUCCUCAAUGAUGUGGGACCAAAAUCAAAAGUGCCCCCAAGUACACAAGUUAAGAAAGGAGAGGAGACUGAAGAGACAAGUUCAAGUAAAUUGUUGGUAAAAGCAGAAGAGCUAGAGAAACCUAAAGAAACAGAAAAAGUUAAAAUCACCAAGGUGUUUGAUUUUGCUGGUGAAGAAGUAAGGGUAACUAAGGAAGUGGAUGCUACAUCUAAAGAGGCCAAAUCCUUCUUCAAGCAGAAUGAGAAAGAAAAACCACAGGCUAAUGUUCCUUCAGCUCUGCCAUCACUCCCUGCCGGGUCAGGAUGUGUCAUUUAAAAAACUGUUAUGACCUGCUGAAUUGAUUUCACAAUCAACUGCAACCUGAAUUUGACAAAAUACUGCUCUAGACAACGUAUGGAAUUAGCCUUCAGCAGGUGAUUAAGAGUUGCCAGAAAGCCGCUUCUGCCCCAUACCUGUUUUAGCUAGUCAUCAAUUUGGUUUGGUAUCCAAGCCCUGCCUCUGGAAUCCUGUCCUGCCUACUACUUCAUAGCCACUAUCCAAGAUAAGUAUUCUCAGUUCACAUGCCACUGGGUCAUCAGAAGACAAGUAUCUGGAUUUCAGAGCCAACAGUUUGCUUUUAUUUAAGCUGCAAGACCCUCCAUUGCCAUAAGAUCUGCCACUGCCAUAAUAACAAAACCUCAGCUGGAACUUCUGCUGCAGCCAUUGAGGUCUGUACAUAGGCCUCCUGCUCUCGCUUCUGGUUCCAUGUAAUAUCAUUGUUUAUAAAAAGAAUUAGUGUCUGUUCUGUAUAAAACAACACUGUGGGGCAGAAGCUUUGCAGUCAUUAGUAAGAGGGGCCACCGUGAACUACAGUUGCAUUGAAAAGCAAUUCUUUUCCCUCUUAGGAAAUAGAACUUUAACUUAGGCUUGCUUUUAUAACACCUGAAGGAAUGGAAGAGGAAAGAGUAGUGUUCUCGAGGGUACCUUAACUUACAGCUUGUGUUGUAGGUCGAGAUUGGCUGCAUUAUUAUGUUACAUGGUUUCUUGAGCCAUGGUGAGCAUAUUUUCCAAACCAAAAAUCAGCAUAGCUAUUCGGACAGUAUUUUUUAAGUCAAAUGUAAUUACACAUUUAGAAGUAAAAUUAAAAGUUGAGACUGUCCAGGAAAACCCAGAACAUAGGGAUGCCUUGCCUGGAAGACGGGAGGUUGACUCCUCAAAGGAGAAGUAUGCUGAACUUUAAACUUGACCCCCCUUGCCUUUCAGCACAGUGUUGAUAUCAGCCCUCCUAGAGGUGCAGCUGGGCCCCGCCUUUCUACCCAAAGUAGGAUGCUACACCAUAGGCCAUAGGCAAGACCACUGAUCUGUAUGGAGACUUGAUUUUUAGUAUGAAGGAUAUUUUUUGCCUGGCCUUGAAGCCUGUAGGGCAGACAUGGAAAAGGAAAUGACAGUACUGACCCAGGACUGUCCCGUCUGACUUAUUACCCAAUUUGUGUAGAUCAUGCAGUCUAGGAACUAGCAAGCAUUCGAUUGCGGCAAAAGCAUCUCCGAAUGAAUAACUUCAUUGAAUUCUUGGGUUUUUCUGAGUUCCUUCAUUUUGUACAAAUGACUUCCUGUAGGUAUGGGAAUUAUUGGUCAAGACAGGCUCUUUUGCUUGUUUUCCUGAGGCCACGCUUUCAGCUCAUGCCGUAGCAGAAUAGGAGAAGGAAGAGAGCGAAAAAUAAUAGUAAAAUUCUGAAAACAAAUACAAGGAAACCUGGGACCCAAAGAGGAAACAGACGUUGAGAAAUUCAAAAAGAAACCAGACAAGGAGAGAACAUGUUCAUGUGUUCAGAGUUGUUUUCUACAGUGUAUUUAUGGAGGGUGCAAGUGCCUUUUGACAGUUCUAUUGUGUAUUGUAAAAAAACUUUUUUUAAUUCUUUGAGUUUUUUACAUGUUUAUCCCUUCCUAAGUUGAUUUGUGUGUCUUUUUGGUUUUGUUUUUCUUUUUGAGACAUAGUCUUGCUCUGUUGCCCAGGCUGGAGUGCAGUGGCAUGAUCUCAGCUCACAGCAACCUCCGCCUCCCAGGUUCAAGCGAUUCUCAUGCCUCAGCCUCCUGAGUAGCUGGGAUUACAGGCGUGCGGCACCACACUUGGCUAAUUAUUGUAUUUUUAGUGUACGUGGGGAUUCACUAUGUUGUCUAGGAUGGUCUUGAACUCCUGACUUCAAGUGAUCCACCUGCCUCGGCCUCCCAGAGUGCUGGGAUUACAGGUGUGAGCCACCGCGCCCGGCUUUAAAUUUAAACAAUAUCUGACUUGCCUGGGUGUGGUUACUCAUGCCUGUAAUCACAGCACUUUGGGAGACUGUGGCGGGUGGAUCACUUGAGGCCAGAAGAUCGAGAGCAGCCUGGCCAACAUGGCAAAACCCCAUCGCUACUAAAAAAUACAAAAAUUAGCCGAGUGUGGUGGUGCGUGCCUGUAUUCCCAGCUACUACAGAGGCUGAGGCAGGAGAAUCACUUGAACCCAGGAGGUGGAGGUUGUAGUAAGCCAAGAUCACGCCACUACACUCCAGCCUGGGCCAUAGAGUAAGACCCUGCCUCAGAAAAAAAGAAAAGAAAAUUGGUGAAUGGGUGGAAUGUUUGAAAGAAUAGCCAAAAAUGUAUCUUAACAUUGGAUGAUGUUUCUAGAGAUGGUGUGGAAGAUCAACUGCUGUUUCUUACUAUUUCUUUUUAAAAAAGAAUUCUUAUGUGAAUCUUUUUAACAUCUUACCUGUAAUAUUUUUAUGGUUUGUUUAAUGGUCAGUUGUUAAAUUUGUCUAUUGAAAAUUAACGUUGCUUAAAUAUUACAUAUAAAUUAAGGUAGCUUGUUCUUUUAAGCACAUCAAACAUCUUAAGAGAUAAAAUAUAAAUACAAUUAUUAAUAAGACUUAUUCUGUGUGGUUUGGGGUAAACUAGUGGCAAAUUUCCAGUUAUCUUGAUUUUCAACAAUUUCUACUAGAAGGGAUUUUAUUCAGCCACAGGAAAGUUAUUGUUAUGUAUGCUCUGUUUUUGUCUUUAACUUAUGCUCCCAUUGGGGGUUAAUGCGAUAUAAGAAGAGGGGUAGUAUUCCUUUCCAUGUACAAAAACCUGUUUUGGACCCUCUGGUGCUAAAUUAUUUUUACAAAAUUAGUUUUGUUUCGGUUUCCUUCAGUUAACCAUAGUUAUUUUCUUUUUGAAGCUCAGAUUGUCAUAGAUUGGCUAAUGGCAUUGUCUUUGAGCUGAUUCCUUUGUCCUUUUGACACUAACUCUGGCAGUCUGAAAAGUAUUCUUACUUUCUGGCAGUGCUAGAAAAUACCAGAAUGGUCUUUAUUGUUUUUUUGCCCCAAGACAUGGAGUCAUCUCCCAUCUAGGUUCCUGGUUCCUUUAGUGGAAAGUAAUAUUAGAAACCAAAAUCUGGGCUGGGCGCAGUGGCUCAUGCCUGUAAUCCCAGCACUUUUUGGGAGGCCAGGAUGGGAGGAUUGCUUGAGGCCAGAAGUUCAAGACAGGCUGCCCAACAUAGUGAGACCCCCUUCUCUACCAAAAUUUUAAAAAUGAGCAUGCAUCUGUAGUCCUAGCUAUUGGGAAGGCUGAGGCAGGAGGAUCAUCUGAGCCCAGGAGUUUGAGGCUGCAGUGAGCUAAGAAGGUGCCACUGCACUGCUGUUGUCUCUCAGCAGAUCAUUUUCAGCUUUCUUUGGAGAGUAGCCAUUAGCAAUGCAAAUGUGAAGUUUGAUAGCACAAUAAAUAAAACACUGAAAACUGUAGAUGUUACUUAUAAAACACUGGCACUCAGAUAAAUUGGGUUUGGUCAAGAAGACAGUGAAGCAUAUCCCUGUUGGGCCAGAGGCUGUUAUCGUUUUGCUCUGAAUUCAAAACCUGAUAUGUCUCCAAAUUUGCUUAGGGUUGUUAUCCUGGAAAAUAGAAUCUGAUAGAAGGUGGGCACUGGUACCAAGUGCAAGGUGGAGGUGAUCAUGGUUAGGGCAAUUGCAUACAGGUCAUGACUGCAUUGGAGUCUCAGGAAAGAUUGGUUUAGUGAUUUGGCAAAUCCAAGGCAUGAGUUUUGGGUGGUUUUGUUGUUUUGUCUUAUUUUUCCACCCCUUAAGAGUCUUAGGGGAAAACAGCAUCAUUGAAUAGACUAGCUAAAAAUUCAGCACUUAAUACCCUUCACAGCGUAUUAGCCUCUGCAGAGCUUUGCUAUUUUGGAACCAGUGGUGUGAAUUAUUCUCUGUUAAUAAGAAUCUGGCUUUCUUUUCCUGUUGGAAAAGAGGCUCGUGUGCAUGUUACUCUGACUCAGUAGUUCUCAAACUUUUUGUUCUCAGGACCUCUUUACGCUCUUCAAAAUUAUUGACUGGGUUAUAACUGUUGUUAUUUAUAGUAUAAGAAAUUAAAAUAAACUAGUAUAUUUUUAAAAUUUA